GAUGAACGCUGGCGGCGUGCCUAAUACAUGCGAGUCGAGCGAACAGAUGAGGAGCUUGCUCCUCUGACGUUAGCGGCGGACGGGUGAGUAACACGUGGAUAACCUACCUAUAAGACUGGGAUAACUUCGGGAAACCGGAGCUAAUACCGGAUAAUAUAUUGAACCGCAUGGUUCAAUAGUGAAAGACGGUUUUGCUGUCACUUAUAGAUGGAUCCGCGCCGCAUUAGCUAGUUGGUAAGGUAACGGCUUACCAAGGCAACGAUGAGUAGCCGACCUGAGAGGGUGAUCGGCCACACUGGAACUGAGACACGGUCCAGACUCCUACGGGAGGCAGCAGUAGGGAAUCUUCCGCAAUGGGCGAAAGCCUGACGGAGCAACGCCGCGUGAGUGAUGAAGGUCUUCGGAUCGUAAAACUCUGUUAUUAGGGAAGAACAAAUGUGUAAGUAACUAUGCACGUCUUGACGGUACCUAAUCAGAAAGCCACGGCUAACUACGUG
rnacentral:rRNA from 1 species